rnacentral:rRNA from 1 species
AGUGAACGCUGGCGGUAGGCCUAACACAUGCAAGUCGAACGGCAGCACAGUAAGAGCUUGCUCUUACGGGUGGCGAGUGGCGGACGGGUGAGGAAUACAUCGGAAUCUACUUUUUCGUGGGGGAUAACGUAGGACAACUUACGCUAAUACCGCAUACGACCUACGGGUGAAAGCAGGGGAUCUUCGGACCUUGCGCGAUUGAAUGAGCCGAUGUCGGAUUAGCUAGUUGGCGGGGUAAAGGCCCACCAAGGCGACGAUCCGUAGCUGGUCUGAGAGGAUGAUCAGCCACACUGGAACUGAGACACGGUCCAGACUCCUACGGGAGGCAGCAGUGGGGAAUAUUGGACAAUGGGCGCAAGCCUGAUCCAGCAAUACCGCGUGGGUGAAGAAGGCCUUCGGGUUGUAAAGCCCUUUUGUUGGGAAAGAAAAGCAGCAGGUUAAUACCCCGCUGUUCUGACGGUACCCAAAGAAUAAGCACCGGCUAACUUCGUG